rfam:Bacillus infantis NRRL B-14911, complete genome.
GGCGGCAUAGCCAAGAGGUAAGGCAGAGGUCUGCAAAACCUUUAUCACCGGUUCGAUUCCGGUUGCCGCCU